AUAAAAAGAGCUCAGUUACCCUAUAAAUCUUAUAAAAUACACAGUUUAAUUUGUGUAUUGGUGAGAAGGCACAUCAUUUUUGGCAUUGAUUUGUCUUUCUCUCUUCAAAGGUUCAAAGGAUUUAGUGGACUUUGUACUCUGUUUGAUAGAUAGCCUUCCCAAGCUUGAGAGAAGAAAAGCACAGCUCUUUUUUAUAAUUUAUGAUGGCAAGUAACACAAGUUAGAGACAGCUGACCUUCACAUGACCAAGGGUCGGGAGAUGUUGUGAGGAGGUUCCCUUGAGUCUGGUGAUUAGCCUCUGAAGAGGGGACCUGCCGUUCAGAGGCCAAGCCUUCAGGACAUUGCCCAGGCCCUGGAAACACUAACAGUGGACCUCCUGUCUUGGGCUACCACGAGGACCAACAGGACCAGCGGGACCAGCAGGACCAGCUUCACCCUAUAAGGGGGCCAAAAAUGAGUUUGUCAGUGUUCCUCACACAAACGCUCAAAGAGGUAUGCCAGCAGCACCCCUUUCUCCUGGGAGUCCAUUAGGACCAGAUGGACCAGCAGUGCCUGGAGCACCAACCACACCAGAUUCCUAGUCCUUGAAUUCUGUUAUUUAAGGCAUGAUCCAUCAUCAUGCAGCUCCAGAUACAAUAAAGUACACUUAUGUCUGCAGGAGCAUAUGACUCAAGAUGUGGAUUUUCAGCAGGAACAAUGAUACACUGGAGGUCAACUUUUGUUGUGUUAAUAUCUCCUGCGUGAAUCUUGUGACUGCUUCUGUAGAAUGGAGUCCCAUUGCCCCAGCUCCCAACAAACUCCCUCUGCUGCCCUAGAUAUGAAUGCUUUAAAUUACCAUGCAAAAUCAGGAAAUUGGAAAUCAUCAAUUAACGGCAUAUUACUUCUCAAGUGAGAGUUUUAAUUUACAGAAAAUAUCGUCUUGCCCUUACCGUGUAUUAGCUUAUUGCGAACCAUUAGCUCCAGCAGAACAUCUUUUGAAGACAGAGCACUGAAUGCAUUGUCCAGGAUACACUGACUAGCUAUUGGGAUUGGCUUCAGUGAGAAAUGCAGAUCAUUCUCUGUAUAAACCUGUGGAGUCUUUAAAUGGGGAUUCCAUAAACCUUAAGCCCUGGACCCCUGUGCUCUCAUUGUCCCCCUCCAGAGUGCGCCUGGUGGUCGUCAUCAUCAUCGUCGUCAUCGUCAUCAUCAUCCAGACCAGUCUUAAAACACCCAGAAGAGAAAAGCCUUUAGGAGGUGAGUUUUUUUAUUACUAAAUUAAGGGCUUUCCAAACCAGGCCUCAAGUUUCACAAGGUGGGCAUCAGUGCAGUUUUGGGGCCUUUUAGGCUGAGGCCUCUGCCUUCCUUCAUCAUGUCCGUUAAUAUCUCAUCCUUAAGGAAAAGGAUUUCUGCUCCCUUUGAGCUUCACUAACUGGAGGAUCCAGAUCAAGUUAACAGGUUCACUCUGAGUUGAGAGAAAAGUUCCCUAACUUUUGGCGAGAGUCGAGCCUUUUUCGUUUUCAUUUCUAAAGUAUUUUCCAUGUUUCUCAUAAAUGCCAGCGUUUCUCCACAUGCCAGAGAGCCUUCCCUCCAAGCUGUACCUAGAACUUUGUUAGGUUUUCCUUUUCAGACCAGGUGCCCACCCAUCUAACCUCUUUCCCGGACUGCCCGAAA